GCCUACGUAGUGUAGUGGUCAGCACGCUCGACGCGCAUUCGAUAGGUCCGUGGUUCGAGUCUCGGCGAGGGCA
rnacentral:tRNA from 1 species